rnacentral:misc_RNA from 1 species
UCACAAUCCACGUCCGAUAAAAACAAAUUAAAAUACAAACAUUCUUUCAAAAAAAAACAUAUUUUAAACAUUGUUAACUAAUUCGUAGUAAGUAAAUGACACUGCAUUCGUUGUUGUAUGAUUACCCGUGUCAUUCAACUGUUCAACACUAGCAAAGCUCAAUGAAAGUUGAAAAUAAAAUAUGCUAAAAAAUAGCAUCACUACAAGGUAAAUGUCAAAACUUUCAAA